rnacentral:rRNA from 1 species
UAGGGAAUCUUCGGCAAUGGACGAAAGUCUGACCGAGCAACGCCGCGUGAGUGAAGAAGGUUUUCGGAUCGUAAAACUCUGUUGUUAGAGAAGAACAAGGACGUUAGUAACUGAACGUCCCCUGACGGUAUCUAACCAGAAAGCGACGGCUAACUACGUGCCAGCAGCCGCGGUAAUACGUAGGUGGCAAGCGUGGUCCGGAUUUAUUGGGCGGAAAGCGAGCGCAGGCGGUUUCUUAAGUCUGAUGUGAAAGCCCCCGGCUCAACCGGGGAGGGUCAUUGGAAACUGGGAGACUUGAGUGCAGAAGAGGAGAGUGGAAUUCCAUGUGUAGCGGUGAAAUGCGUAGAUAUAUGGAGGAACACCAGUAGCGAAGGCGGCUCUCUGGUCUGUAACUGACGCUGAGGCUCGAAAGCGUGGGGAGCAAACAGG